AUGAAUUUGGAGUUCUACUGUGCCUGCCGUUCAUUUGGAUGUGUGCACGUAGUCUCUAUAAAUCCUUAUCAACACCUGUGCACCUUUAAAAAGGGGAAACUGAUUAAGCUUUUUACGGGCUUAUGAGGAAUAACCUUUUUUCUUAUACAAACUCUUAAUGUCUAUUAGAAUGUUCUCUGGCCGCAAGGCUAUAAAAUAUAA
rnacentral:misc_RNA from 1 species